rnacentral:rRNA from 1 species
GAUGAACGCUAGCGGGAGGCUUAACACAUGCAAGCCGAGCGAGACGUUGUUUUCGGACAGCGGACACCGGCGGACGGGUGAGUAACAUGUAUGCAACUUGCCUCUAACAGUCGGAUAAGCCGGCGAAACCCGGACUAAUACCGCAUAACAAAUGGAUCAGCCUUGAUUUUUUUUAAAAGAUUUAUCGGCUAGAGUUAGGCAUGCGUGGGAUUAGUUAGUUGGUGGGGUAACGGCUCACCAAGACGAUGAUCCUUAGGGGGCCUGAGAGGGUGAUCCCCCACACUGGUGCUGGGACACCGACCAGACUCCUACGGGAGGCAGCAGUGGAGAAUAUUGGGCAGCAGGUGGGAGCCUGAUACAGCGAGCCCGAGUGCAGGAAGGCAACGCUAGGGGUGGUAAGCUGCUUUUAGGCAGGAAUACAUCUACUCACGUGUAAGUAAUUGAAGGUACUGGAAGAAUAAGCAACGGCUAACUCCGUG